UCCAUGUGACUGACUCUGUGUGUUUGCAUAUGUGUCCUGCCUCUCUGCUCCCAGCUGUUAAGAGGUCAGUGUUGAUCAGUGGCUGUCCAGGCCUUUCAGAGCCACUGACACACCAGCAGCACAAUGAUGAUGUCACUGACUCUACUGCUGACCACCCUGGGGCUCCUGGUUCACGGUUCAUCAGGGGAAAUCAUCCUGACUCAGACUCCAGGUUCUCAGGCUGUUGUUCCAGGACAGACUGUCUCCAUCAAAUGUAAAGCCAGUUCAGGAGUUUCCUAUGAUUUACAGUGGUACCUUCAAAAACCUGGAGAAGCACCUAAACUCCUAAUUUAUGAUGCUACUUCGCGUUGGUCUGGAGUUUCUGGUCGUUUCAGUGGAAGUCAGUCUGGAACUGACUUCACUCUGACCAUCAGCAGAGUUCAGGCUGAAGAUGCAGGAGUUUAUCACUGUCAGCAGGAUUACAACAGACCGUUCACACAGUGAUACA